UAAAAUAAGUAAAGGAGAAGAAUCCCAAGUACACAUUUAGCUGCCUGCACACCGCAUCGCAGAGGAGAGAGAGAGAGAGAGAGAAAGAGCUGCGGCGGCGGCACAGCAGGGGAAGCAUCAGACCAGACGCCGCAGUAGAAGAGGAGGGCGACCCCAGGCCACCUAUAUCUAUCUCUUUCUAUUCAUCCUCUAUAAAUAUAUGCAGGUAUAAUUAUAUGGCCAAUUAGAUAGAGAUUAGAGAGGGGUAGAGAGGCAGUGGGGAAGGAAAUUUUGUAUAGGAGAGAGGGAGGGUAGUUGAUGGGAAGGGUUUGAUGUGAUUGCGCUUUCUCUUCUCUUUGCUUCCUGGAUCCAACCGCCGCCGCCGCCGCCGCCUACUGUCGUCGGCGACUCGGAGCUCUUGGAUUGGAUGCAUUCUUCUUCCUAGAUCGGAGCAAGACACGCGGUGUAAAUCUCGAGAGGAGGAAGGGGAUCGAGGCGGCUCGGUUCUUGUUGUUGCCGCGUCCGGUUCUCUCAAGAACCAGCGGCGAGGAUGGAUCUCUGCGGCAAGAGAGAGGACAUGGCGCUGCAAGGCGGGGAUUCCAGCCUCACGCCCCGCGCUUCGCGGGGCGACUGCGAGAUGCAGUCGCGGUGGGCGGAGGGCCUCCUCGACGGUGGCGGCCGGAAGCGCCGCGCGCCGGAGGAAUCCGAGGACGAUGUCCGGGAAAUGGAUGAGGUGGAUUGCGGUGGCAAGCGGAGCAAGCCGCCGUCGCCGCAGCCGCACACCCCGGACAUCCGUGAGGCUCAUGCCCCCAGCCGCUGCCGCACAGCGGCCGGCAGUGGGGGUGACCUCAUAGGAGAAAUCGGCCGGGACCUGUCCAUCAACUGCCUCCUCCGGCUGUCCCGGUCGGAAUAUGGCUCGGUGGCAUCGUUGAACCGGGAUUUUUGGUCUCUGGUGCGUGGAGGGGAUAUUUACAGGCUGCGGCGGCAGAAUAACAUCUCUGAACAUUGGGUGUACUUCUCCUGCAAUGUUCUGGAGUGGGAUGCAUAUGACCCCUACCGGGAGCGCUGGAUGACGGUGCCUAAGAUGCCGUCUGACGAGUGCUUCAUGUGCUCGGACAAGGAGUCUUUGGCUGUGGGCACCGAGCUGCUUGUAUUUGGGAUGGCGCACAUUGUCUUCAGAUACAGCAUACUGACAAACUCUUGGACACGAGGCGAGGUGAUGAAUUCGCCACGGUGUCUGUUUGGGUCAGCAAGCGUUGGUGAGAAGGCAUAUGUUGCUGGUGGCACUGAUUCUCUUGGCAGGAUCCUCAGCUCAGCAGAGCUGUACAACUCUGAAACACAUACUUGGACACCCCUUCCUAGCAUGAACAGGGCACGAAAAAAUUGCUCUGGCGUGUUCAUGGAUGGCAAGUUUUAUGUGAUUGGCGGUGUGACCAACAACAACAUGAUCUUGACCUGUGGUGAAGAGUAUGAUGUGCAGAGCAAGUCUUGGAGGGUGAUUGAGAACAUGUCUGGGGGUCUAAAUGGAGUGAGUGGUGCACCCCCGCUUAUUUCAGUGGUGAAGAAUGAGCUGUACGCCGCUGAUUAUAGUGAGAAGGAUGUGAAGAAGUACGACAAGCAUAAUAAUAAGUGGAUCACUCUUGGUAAAUUGCCUGAGCGAUCUGUGUCCAUGAAUGGCUGGGGCCUUGCAUUCAGGGCAUGCGGUGAGAGGCUGAUCGUCAUUGGUGGACCAAGAACUUCUGUUGGGGGCAUGAUUGAGCUCAACUCGUGGAUUCCCGAUGACAAGCCACCUGUGUGGAAUUUGAUUGCCAGACGGCCAUCUGGGAAUUUUGUGUAUAAUUGUGCUGUGAUGGGCUGCUGAGUUCACUGGAUCAAGGGUCCGCACAGUGUUGUUUACAAAGAGAGAAGCUGAUGCUCAUGACCUGAUUACAAACAAUCAUGCUUCACGACUCUAAACUUGUGAUUGUUAACUAUCGAUAGGCUUUUACAACUUUAUCCUGUGGAAUGGAAUCACUUUAUGAUGGAGGUACGCAAGUUGUGCAUGUAUGCAUUAUUGUCCUUGUGUGCGGCGUGAAGCUUCCUCCUUUGACUCUGAACACUAACGUUAUCCAUUCUCUUUUUCCAUAUGAUUUGGUGCUUGCUUUAGCUACUGCUGCUGAUGUUUGCAACAUUUGACAGAAUGCAUUGCAUUUAGAACUGGACUUCGAUAAUUUUGCUGUUAGUCAUAUUUCUGUUAUACUGAUAUGGAGUUCAACUUUGUGCAUGCUCGCUUGUUGAAACAUGAAAAGGAAAAUUGUUUGGUUGGAUAUUUGUAACCUUCAUCCUGUGCAUGUCAGAUGGUUGUCUUUGUUUAGCUGUCAGGUCUUGCACUUCCUGUUUGCAACGUUACCACCCGUUGCACAUUCUGGAAUGACGUCUAUGCAGCAGUUGAACCAUUUUCUGAACUUUCAAAGUUAUGCAGUUGUCUGAACUAAUUUUUUCCUUUUAGUUGAGUCUUACGGUGAAACACUGAAAUGUCGCACAUAUGCCACAUCUUUUUGUUUUGCCAGCACGGAAUAUCUCAGUCGAGAAUUUGAUUAAAGCUAGGAAAAAUGCGCUGUCCGGUGGAAUUUCAGGAUUGGCAAUGUGUGAAAGGCAUAAACAUUGGAUGGAAUGGUCUGGAAAAGUUGUUUUUGGCCUCUUCUUGCAGGGGCGUGUAGAUGAGAUGGACGCAAUCGUAACGGCUUCUGUUUCUAGCUGCAACUUGCAGAAAACAAACUUUUUUUUCUCCUUUUCCUUUGGUUUCUCACCAUUAUCAUCAGCAUCUUUUCUGCCUUUAUGUUUUUCCUCAGCUGACGUUUGAAAUUUUCACGCUCGUCGGCGCAGCCCCAUCAGCAAGGGGCAAAAAAAGUACCUUCAUGUUCCCACUGUGGUGGUGUGGUUUCGGCGUUUCGCUUUCAUUGAAGGUUUUUCCGAGUCAGCAAUUGCGGUUCAGAAUCUCUCGUGGUUAAGCUGAACAUGUGCUGCAGAAAUGCCAAAUGGCCCAUUUCGAGUUCUCGGGAUGCUCCUCUCCGUUAGCAAAUUCUGAGAUCUGCUCAGGCACUUAAAUAUCUCCAGCAGAUUACUCAUCUCUUAUAUCUUAUAUAUUUUCUCUCUCCAUCACCAAUAAUAUU